rnacentral:misc_RNA from 1 species
UCUCCGUAGGUGAACCUGCGGAGGGAUCAUUACUGAGUGAGGGUUUAACCGCCCGACCUCCAACCCCAUGUGAACCGAAACCUGUUGCUUCGGGGGCGACCCGGCUCCGGCCGGCGAGCCCCCGCGGGUCCACUACCAAACUCUGCGUCUGAAGCGUCCGAGUCUGAUACUUAAAUAUCAAUCAAAACUUUCAACAACGGAUCUCUUGGUUCUGGCAUCGAUGAAGAACGCAGC